rnacentral:rRNA from 1 species
UACGGAGGGUGCAAGCGUUGUCCAGAAUCACUGGGCGUAAAGGGCGCGUAGGCGGCUCAUGAAGGCUGUGGUGAAAGUCCGGGGCUCAACCUCGGAUCGGCCGUGGCGACUCGUGGGCUGGAGCACUGUAGAGGCGGGUGGAAUUCCGGGUGUAGCGGUGGAAUGCGCAGAUAUCGGGAAGAACACCCGUGGCGAAGGCGGCUCUCUGGGACGGUACUGACGCUGAGACGCGAAAGCGUGGGGAGCGAACAGG